rnacentral:rRNA from 1 species
GACGAACCGUGCGAACGUUGUUCGGAAUCACUGGGCUUAAAGGGCGCGUAGGCGGGUCACCAAGUCCUGUGUGAAAUCUUUCGGCUCAACCGGAAAACUGCCUGGGAUACUGGUGGCCUUGAGGGAGGUAGGGGCAUGCGGAACUUCCGGUGGAGCGGUGAAAUGCGUAGAUAUCGGAAGGAACGCCGGUGGCGAAAGCGGCGUGCUGGACCUCUUCUGACGCUGAGGCGCGAAAGCCAGGGGAGCAAACGGG